AUUGAACGCUGGCGGCAGGCCUAACACAUGCAAGUCGAGCGGGGUUUUCGGACCUAGCGGCGGACGGGUGAGUAAUGCGUAGGAAGCUGCCCGAUAGAGGGGGAUACCAGUUGGAAACGACUGUUAAUACCGCAUAAUGUCUACGGACCAAAGUGUGGGACCUUCGGGCCACAUGCUAUCGGAUGCGCCUACGUGGGAUUAGCUAGUUGGUGAGGUAAUGGCUCACCAAGGCGACGAUCUCUAGCUGGUUUGAGAGGAUGAUCAGCCACACUGGAACUGAGACACGGUCCAGACUCCUACGGGAGGCAGCAGUGGGGAAUAUUGGACAAUGGGCGCAAGCCUGAUCCAGCCAUGCCGCGUGUGUGAAGAAGGCCUUCGGGUUGUAAAGCACUUUCAGCGAGGAGGAAGGGUGGUGUGUUAAUAGCACAUCAUUUUGACGUUACUCGCAGAAGAAGCACCGGCUAACUCUGUGCCAGCCGCCGCAGUAACAC
rnacentral:rRNA from 1 species